UGCAGCAACCAAAUCCAUACAAAGGAUAGGUCCUUUUUCCAUGAUGUCUCCCAAGGGACUGGGGCUGGGGGAAAGGCUGCCAAAGUCUUCCAAAGGGAGAGUAACGGGCCUAGCCUGUGCAGUAGCUGAGUCCCUGGUGCUUGUGGCCCCAGCAGCUGUGUUCAGUGUUCUGUAAUAUCAUCAGUGCAGCUACUACUCACAUCUCUCCAAGAUGGGUCCCACUCAUCCAUCUUCACAAUCUCUCAGAGCCCAGGGCUGCCUGUGCCCUUUAUAAGCAGGGACAGCUGAGUGUGUGUGUGUGUGUGUGUGUGUAGAGGAUAUGGCUGACUUGGUAAAGGUCACCCAGCUCAGCAUCAUGGACCCUUAAGGUUUCCCCAGCUCCCAGCUUAGAAUUUUCCAAAAUAGAGCUCCAGGGGGGCUUAUACAAGCUGCAGUCACAGGAAGGAAGGAAGCAGAAACUAGAAGGCUGAAGGGGGUGCUGGUGGAACUAAUACAGUAGGCUCUUAAGCUCCUUAACAAAUUAUCUCUGCGUCCCCAGAGCCAAGCACACACUGGGUGCUCAAUAAAAGUUUGAUGAAUGAAUGACUGACGCUAUGCAGCUGGGGAGGGAGAUGAGGCAGCAAUAGAUCAAGGAUGAACAUUCAGGAGUUACAACUCCAAAUACGCCAAAAUGACAGCAGCUGAGAAGCCUAUGCUUCCAAGCAGGGGCCAGGAAGAGGGCGCACAGCCAGACACUUGAGUCUCCAUCCACUAUCCCAAAGCAGGCUCCAUGACGUCUGUCCCAGGAACUUAUGGGCCAAAAGGCUUUGCUUAUUUUAUAGUUCCUCGCUUAGAAGAAAAAGAUCCUUCCUUGCAUGGGAUAUAAGUAACAGUGGCUCCAAGCAAAGGCCAUUUACUAGCAUUUAGGUACCUAGUAACACAUUAAUGGGCCCUAUAAUGCUAAAGAAGUCCGAAAUAACAAGCACCAUGGCUGACCUCCAGACUAAGAACUGUAAUUCCCAGGAAAACUACACAUUAGUUGGUGGGAAUUUGAGUCAAGUCAUCUUUCUGAAUUUGUCAAUUGGGAUAGCAUCACCUUUCCUACCCACCUCACAUGGGUGAGAUCAAGUAAGAUGAUAAAUGAAAGUACUCUGUAUAUGGUAAAUUACCAUAUUAAAUUUCCUAGAGGCUUUACGGGGAAUCAGUUCUUAAUUCCAUCUUCAGUGAUGACCACAGAAGAUAUUAACUGGCAAGUGCUUUAUUAGAAGUCUAAAUAUCCAUUUACAUGUGUCUGAGCCUAGCACACAGAUGGUGUCCAACUGUGUGAGAUAUGAGAGGAAUGCUGUAUAAAAAACAAUGCAGCUAAAUGAAGCCUGGCAAGAGUUACAGACAGAGAAGGUAGACAAAAGGAAAAAUUCCUGCUUCCAGCUAUGAGUCCCUGAAAAGUGGCCUCCUUCCCCAACCCACAUGACUGCUGAGGACAAAGCUCCCACACACUACAAGGUUAUUCCUGGUGACGUCAAGCUGUCUUCUGCCUGACUUCGUGAAUAGAAACCAUCAACAAAUACAGCUCUGAGAACCAGUGUCUAAUAAAUUGCACAAGUUAGAGAC